rfam:Cavia porcellus supercont2_25 genomic scaffold, whole genome shotgun sequence.
UAAAAGGAUUUUUUAAAACCCACUCCUUGUUUUAAAUAAGAUAUCAU